rnacentral:rRNA from 1 species
GACGAACGCUGGCGGCGUGCUUAACACAUGCAAGUCGAACGGUGAAGGGACCGGUUUUUGCUGGUUCUGGAUGAGUGGCGAACGGGUGAGUAACACGUGAGUAACCUGCCCCCUUCUUCUGGAUAACCGCAUGAAAGUGUGGCUAAUACGGGAUAUUCUGCGCCUGCUGCAUGGUGGGUGUGGGAAAGAUAUUGUUUCGGUGGGGGAUGGGCUCGCGGCCUAUCAGCUUGUUGGUGGGGUGAUGGCCUACCAAGGCGGUGACGGGUAGCCGGCCUGAGAGGGUGGACGGUCACACUGGGACGGAGACACGGCCCAGACUCCUACGGGAGGCAGCAGUGGGGAAUAUUGCACAAUGGGCGGAAGCCUGAUGCAGCGACGCCGCGUGAGGGAUGGAGGCCGUCGGGUUGUAAACCUCUUUCGCCAGUGAAGCAGGCCUGUCCCUUUUGUGGGUGGGUUGACGGUAGCUGGAUAAGAAGCGCCGGCUAACUACGUG